GAUUAGCAUUUCGCGGAAAGAGUAAAAUAAAAUGUGUUGUAAUAUACUGUUUCAAUAUCUUAGAGAAACCAAUUUAAGUGGAAGGAUUUUUUUUUAUUUUUUUAAACAAUGCUUAUACACAACAUUCUGGUCCACACUCACACCAGAUGGUGGCGGUAAUGCACCAAAAAGUUGUUUGCCAACCGCCAAUAAACCUUAAUAGUAGAAGACGACGUCAAGACGAUCGAGGCACGGACUGCACGCUGUUAUCCUCACAAACUUCACCAAGAUCGGUGUUGGACCGGCGAACAAUUUAGGCCUGUUAUCAGAGGACUUGCUAACAUGAAGAAAACGGUCCAGAGGUUCCACCCGAGAGCCGG